AGUCACUGACAUUAGAUACCCGGUAGUCCCAGCCGUAAACAAUGUGCGUUAGGUAUGUCGGUAACCACGUGUUACUGAUGUGCCGAAGAGAAAUCGUGAAACGCACCACCUGGGAAGUACGGUCGCAAGGCUGAAACUUAAAGGAAUUGGCGGGGAGCACCACAACAGGUGGAGCCUGCGGUUUAAUUGGACUCAACGCCGGGAAGCUCACCGGAUAGGACAGCAGAAUGAUUGCCGGGCUGAAGACCCUGCAUGACUAGCUG
rnacentral:rRNA from 1 species